rnacentral:rRNA from 1 species
UUACGGUACCCUUCCCCUUUUGUACACCCCCGCCCCGGUCGCUGCCCCGGAGACUGAGUUGUUUCGAGGAAAGGCAGGAGAUUGCGAUGUUGAACGUUUUCGGAACGGUCUUUGGUUGCGAGAACCGCGUAAAUCGAAAUCGGCUUUGAACCCGGGCAAAAGUCGUAACAAGGUUUCCCGUAGGUGAACCUUGCGGAAGGAUCAUUA